rnacentral:rRNA from 1 species
UACGAAGGGGCUAGCGUUGCUCGGAAUCACUGGGCGUAAAGCGCACGUAGGCGGAUUGUUAAGUCAGGGGUGAAAUCCUGGAGCUCAACUCCAGAACUGCCUUGAUACUGGCGAUCUCGAGUCCGGGAGAGGUGAGUGGAACUGCGAGUGUAGAGGUGAAAUUCGUAGAUAUUCGCAAGAACACCAGUGGCGAAGGCGGACUCACUGGCCCGGUACUGACGCUGAGGUGCGAAAGCGUGGGGAGCA